rnacentral:rRNA from 1 species
UACGUAGGGUGCAAACGUUGCUCGGAAUUAUUGGGCGUAAAGCGCACGUAGGCGGCAUUGCAAGUCGGAUGUGAAAUCCCUCGGCUUAACCAAGGAAGUGCAUCCGAAACUGCAGUGCUUGAGUACUUAAGAGGAUCGCGGAAUUCCCGGUGUAGAGGUGAAAUUCGUAGAUAUCGGGAGGAACACCAGUGGCGAAGGCGGCGAUCUGGGAAGAUACUGACGCUGAGGUGCGAAAGCGUGGGGAGCAAACAGG